CAUUUGAAAACCACUAGAAUGAAGCAUUAAUCUCAUCUUUGAGCUGCUUGAGUCUCUCUCUUCAAACCUUUUAACCUCUCUGUUACACUUUUUGCACCUCUACAGGUAAGGGCCUUGGUUUGUUAGUUGUUUCUACAGAGGUGUCCUGGUGGGAAGCCCGGCAGCACUGCCUGCAGAGAGGUACUGACUUGGCCGUCGUCAGGAACCAGGCGGAAAACCAGAUGUUACGGAGCAUGUUUAAUGAAAGCAAGGCUUUCUGGGUGGGUUUGUUCAGAGAUGAGUGGCAAUGGUCGGACCAGAGCGACAGUUCUUUCCGAUCCUGGUACAUAACUCAGCCAAAUGGCGAUGGCCCAUGUGCAUUGCUUUACAAGGACAAGACAUGGGGUGACAGAGCUUGUGGUGACCGCCAUCCUUUCAUCUGUCACACCGAAAAAGAAGUAAGAAAACAGACCAUUGUGAAGGUGGAAAUGAAGUCAAAUUCAGACCUGAAUGACCCGACUGUGAGUGAAGCCAUUUUGAACCAAAUCCAACAGAAGUACGGCAUGGUCAAGCUUCAAUGGAGAAUCCAGCCGGACGGAAAGAUUUUCCACAAAAAAGAAAAGAAGGAAAUCAAAGAAACCUGUAAAAAUAAAGUAAAGUCGACGUUAUGAAAUGAUCUGCAGUGCAAAACAAGACUUGACAAUUACUCCUGAAAACAUGCAAAGGCACCUUAAGGGUGAAAGAUAAAAUUACAGUAACAUCAUGAGAAGUUCAACCAAAAAUAGAUGUUUAUUUUUUAAAGACAGUAAACAUUAUUCACAUUUUAAAAAAUGCUCUUUGGAAAGAGAUUUUGUUGCAAUUGACAAAAACAUUUUUUUUUAUAAAAGUCAAUAACUUAGCAUUUUUAAUACCCUGCAUUUAGGAUACGUGUUGAUAUGUAUGUGAGAGUCAUUAUAUAUGUUUCAUUAUGUAGGUUUAGUAAGUGAUAGAAAGAUGUCUCACCUUUUAGGUGUUUGCUUGCCUACUCCCUUCUAAACGUAUCUUACAUCUUUAUUUUAUUCAGAAUUUGUUUGUCUUCUUGUAUUUUGUUGCAUAUUUUAUCUCAAUAGAUUUAAUGAUGAGGCAAUUGUUUUAAAUGUUCACACUGUCUUCACUAUUCACUCAUGUUGCUGAUAAGCAGUUGUGCUGCAUCCUUUUGCACAAAAUGAAUAAAAAUACGGGGGGGGGGGGGCAGUUGGAGCAGCUCGGAGUAACAGGUGCACAGGAGGCCCUUUGACAGAGUUUGGACCAGUGGGAGCCUUGUCCCUGCUGCCCCAAUCUGGUGUCUCUUUGUCUUUUUAAAUAGAGAUGCAUCUCUUUUACUGGGUUUUGAUGGUGGGGCAGAACCUCUGAGACUACUUUUAGAUUCAGUCAUUUAUGGACAUUGUUGUUUUUCUGGAGUUUGACUGUUUUUAAUUCGUAGUUUGUGAUUCAGAGUGCAAUAAAACGUCUUGUAAAUUCA